rnacentral:rRNA from 1 species
UACGUAGGUGGCAAGCGUUGUCCGGAAUUAUUGGGCGUAAAGCGCGCGCAGGCGGUCUCUUAAGUCUGAUGUGAAAUCCCGUGGCUUAACCACGGGCGGUCAUUGGAAACUGGGGGGACUUGAGUGCAGAAGAGAAGAGCGGAAUUCCACGUGUAGCGGUGAAAAUGCGUAGAGAUGUGGAGGAACACCAGUGGCGAAGGCGGCUCUUUGGUCUGUAACUGACGCUGAGGCGCGAAAGCGUGGGGGAGCGAACAGG